CAUGAAUACAAUUUUGAGGUAUACAGAAUUUUCAGGAUGGUGCUGGUCGCGUGGGGAAGAUGCUUUAUGCACUGCAAGGAAAGAAAUUUGAUUAUGAUCUAAAGAAGCUAAGCUUCGCGAUUAUCUUCUGAUGGAGUUGGGUGCUGGUGUUUAGUUGGUGUCCAAAAUGAAGCAAGUGAUGAAGACAUUCACCUUAAGAAAAUGAUGAAGACAUUGGUUUUCUUUCGGUUAGAGGCUUUUGUGGAACUAUUAAGGGUGGAAAUGGAUGGGAUCGGUAUUGGUGUCAGCCUUAGUAUUUGUAUUGGUAUUAGGGCUUACACCAAUUGGAUGUAUAGUUGGUUGUUCCAUCCUCUUUUAUUUUGGUAUUAUAUAAAAUUAUUAUGGAACUUAUAUGGUUAUGUUUCCAGAAUAUUGUUUGGUUGGUAUUGGUUAUCCGUUGGUUAUCGAACGAUUGGACUCA